CGCGAAAGGAGAAGUCAGGCGACUGGGUCUGUUCUGACGCUGAGGUACGAAAGCGUGGGUAGCGAACGGGAUUAGAUACCCCGGUAGUCCACGCCGUAAACAAUGUGCACUAGGUCGAGGGCGUUCUGACGCGACUCUCGGCCGAAGCGAAAGUGUUAAGUGCACCGCCUGGGGAGUACGGUCGCAAGGCUAAAACUCAAAGGAAUUGACGGGGGCUCACACAAGCGGUGGAGCAUGUGGCUUAAUUCGAAGCAACGCGAAGAACCUUAUCCUAGGUUUGACAUACACGGAUUAGCUAUAAGAAACUAUAGUGACGCCUUCGGGUGGAACGUGAACAGGUGCUGCAUGGCUGUCGUCAGCUCGUGCUGUGAAGUGUCGGGUUAAGUCCCUUAACGAGCGCAACCCUUAUCGUUAGUUGCUAGCAGGUAAUGCUGAGGACUCUAGCGAGACUGCCGGUGUUAAACCGGAGGAAGGUGGGGAUGACGUCAAGUCCGCAUGGCCUUUAUGCCUAGGGCUGCACACGUGCUACAAUGGCAAGUACAAAACGAAGCAAUACCGCGAGGUGGAGCAUACCCCAAAAAACCCACCCCAGUUCGGAUCGCAGUCUGCAACUCGACUGCGUGAAGGCGGAAUCGCUAGUAAUCG
rnacentral:rRNA from 1 species